GCCAGGCGUGGUGGUGCAUGCCUGUAAUCCCAUCAGCUAGGGAGGCUGAGGCAGGAGGAUCGCAAGUUUAAGGCCAGCCUCAACAAAAGUGAGAUGCUAAGCAACUCAGUGAGACCCUGUUUCUA
rnacentral:sRNA from 1 species